rnacentral:rRNA from 4 species
AAACUUUCAACAACGGAUCUCUUGGUUCUCGCAUCGAUGAAGAACGCAGCGAAAUGCGAUACGUAAUGUGAAUUGCAGAUUUUCGUGAAUCAUUGAAUCUUUGAACGCACAUUGCGCCCUCUGGUAUUCCAGAGGGCAUGCCUGUUUGAGCGUCAUUU